rnacentral:rRNA from 1 species
UACGUAGGCAGCGAGCGUUGUUCGGAAUUACUGGGCGUAAAGAGUGUGUAGGCGGUGCUCCCAGUCUGUUGUGAAAUCUCCCGGCUUAACUGGGAGGGUGCAGCGGAAACUAGAGUGCUAGAGGGUGGGAGAGGUAAGCGGAAUUCCUGGUGUAGCGGUGAAAUGCGCAGAUAUCAGGAGGAACACCGGUGGCGAAGGCGGGUCUCUGGGCCGUAACUGACGCUGAGGAGCGAAAGCGUGGGGAGCGAACAGG